AACCUUAUGGACCUGCGGGCGUAUACCUGCGGAAGGAUCAUUACAAGUGACCCCGGUCUAACCACCGGGAUGUUCAUAACCCUUUGUUGUCCGACUCUGUUGCCUCCGGGGCGACCCCGCCUUCGGGCGGGGGCUCCGGGUGGACACUUCAAACUCUUGCGUAACUUUGCAGUCUGAGUAAACUUAAUUAAUAAAUUAAAACUUUCAGCAAUGGAUCU
rnacentral:misc_RNA from 1 species